UCGGGAAUUUUGGGCAAUGGGGGCAACCCUGAUCCAGCAAUGCCGCGUGAGUGAAGAAGGCCUUCGGGUUGUAAAGCUCUUUUGUCAGGGAAGAAACGGUAGUAGCGAAUAACUAUUACUAAUGACGGUACCUGAAGAAUAAGCACCGGCUAACUACGUGCCAGCAGCCGCGGUAAUACGUAGGGUGCAAGCGUUAAUCGGAAUUACUGGGCGUAAAGCGUGCGCAGGCGGUUGUGUAAGUCAGAUGUGAAAUCCCCGGGCUCAACCUGGGAAUUGCAUUUGAGACUGCACGGCUAGAGUGUGUCAGAGGGGGGUAGAAUUCCACGUGUAGCAGUGAAAUGCGUAGAUAUGUGGAGGAAUACCGAUGGCGAAGGCAGCCCCCUGGGAUAACACUGACGCUCAUGCACGAAAGCGUGGGGAGCAAACAGGAUUAGAUACCCUUGUAGUCCCUGAGCGGGCUGGCAAGGCGCAU
rnacentral:rRNA from 1 species